GUUGGGAUAGCUCAGUUGGCAGAGCAUGAGACUCAUAAUCUCAGGGUCGUGCAUUUGAGCUCCACGUUGGGCA